UACGUAGGGCGCAAGCGUUGUCCGGAAUUAUUGGGCGUAAAGAGCUCGUAGGCGGCCUGUUGCGUCCGCUGUGAAAUCCCGGGGCUCAACCCCGGGCCUGCAGUGGAUACGGGCUGGCUAGAGGCAGGCAGGGGAGAACGGAAUUCCUGGUGUAGCGGUGAAAUUCGUAGAUAUUGGGAAGAACACCGGUGGCGAAGGCGGCGACCUGGUCCUUGACUGACGCUGAGGCGCGAAAGCGUGGGGAGCAAACAGG
rnacentral:rRNA from 1 species